GCAAACUUGGUCAUUUAGAGGAAGUAAAAGUCGUAACAAGGUUUCCGUAGGUGAACCUGCGGAAGGAUCAUUAUUGAAUACCACUUGAUAGGUUGUAGCUGGCUCCCUGGAGCAUGUGCACGCUUGUCUUGUAUUCUAUUUAUCCACCUGUGCACUAUUUGUAGUCUUUGAAGGUUUAAGGAGACAACUAUCUGUCAGUCAAUUGGCUGGAACAAGAAGUUUGCAGUAGUGUAUUGCUCUGCUCUCUUCAAUAAGUUGUGAACCUUACUUUGAAGUCUAUGUUUAUUACCCAUAAACGAAUGUCAUUGAAUGUGUAUAUCAGGGCCUUUGUGCCUAUAAAAUCUUAUACAACUUUCAGCAACGGAUCUCUUGGCUCUCGCAUCGAUGAAGAACGCAGC
rnacentral:misc_RNA from 1 species